rnacentral:piRNA from 1 species
UACCCUGUAGAUUCGAAUUUGUG